rnacentral:rRNA from 1 species
CUGUUCGCCAUUUAAAGAGGUACGUGAGCUGGGUUUAGAACGUCGUGAGACAGUUCGGUCCCUAUCUGCCGUGGGUGUAGGAGACUUGAGAAGAGUUGCCCCUAGUACGAGAGGACCGGGGUGAACGGACCACUGGUGGACCAGUUAUCGUGCCAACGGUAGUGCUGGGUAGCUAUGUUCGGACAGGAUAACCGCUGAAGGCAUCUAAGCGGGAAGCCCCCUUCAAAACAAGGUCUCCCUUGAGAGCCGUGGAAGACCACCACGUCGAUAGGCCAGAGGUGUAAGAGCAGUAAUGCUUUCAGCUGACUGGUACUAAUUGCUCGAUAGGCUUGAUUUG